UUAGUUUACUAUUGGAGCGGUUAGUGGCGGACUGGUGAGUAACACGUAAGCAACCUGCCUAUCAGAGGGGAACAACAGUUAGAAAUGACUGCUAAUACCGCAUAUGCCUAAGUACCACAUGGUACAAUAGGGAAAGGAGUAAUCCGCUGAUAGAUGGGCUUGCGUCUGAUUAGCUAGUUGGUGGGGUAACGGCCUACCAAGGCGACGAUCAGUAGCUGAACUGAGAGGUUGAACGGCCACAUUGGGACUGAGAUACGGCCCAGACUCC
rnacentral:rRNA from 1 species